rnacentral:lncRNA from 1 species
ACUGGCACGGGUCUGGUUCCAAAUUGGCAAACCACGGUUAGAAACUAGGUGCUUACUUUUUAGACCUGCUGAGCAGCACUAGUAGAAAUGGUAAUCCAGAAAAUGAUAUAUGAAUAAAAUUUGGGAUUUAAAAAUACUUUGUUCCUUUUAGUUAGAUUAGAUUUGCGAUAUGUGCACAUAACUCGAGGUUUAGUUAUUCUUUGGUUCUGCUUUAUGCAAUGUAAGACUCUUACUAUGAAUUGUCCGCUCAUGUAAAAUGAUCCUUAUGAUGAGAAAAGAUUUACUGUUUUUUUCUUUUGUAAAUGAGUACUGAGAUUCUUGUGGAAACAGUUACGAAACAUGUCUUCAAGAUAUCUUCUUCACUUUAUAUUCUUGUAAUUAUACCACAGUAACUUGGAUCAGACAAGAAAAUUUUUUCGAGGCCUGAAAAGUAACUUAUCCCAUCAUUAGUCUGAAAUAAUCCCUUUAUCUUCAAUAGAGGUUUUGUCAAUUAUGCAUCCCCUUCCUCUCGAGUAAGAUAUGAGCAACUUCCUCAGUUAUGUGAGAAUAUAGAUUUUUGGCUUUUUAGUUCUAAGAGAUCGAUUUUAAAUGUUAAUGUAGUUACAUGUUAAAAUCUCAUACGCGAUCGGCAUUGGGUGAUCCAGGUUUGCUGCAGAACACGUCAAUAUACUUGCUUCAGUACAUUCUGUUUCUUUACAUCCUUUGAGGUUUCUGCAGCUGGCCACUUGCUUCUUUUCUAUUUUUCAUUUUUAAACAUGGGCAUGCAUUUAUGUUGCUGAUGUCUUGUAAUUAUGAGAUUAUAAGAUUGCCAAGCAUUUUUUUUGUUCAGUGUGACAUGGUAUCUUUCUAGUAAAUGAAGAAUACUGAUAAUAAGUGGAUGUAUGCCCGCCUUCAGUGUAUUGCAUGUAGGUGGAUGUUAUUCAAGUGUUGAAUUGUUUCACUGGUCCUUAUUUUUCCAUAAAUUGCUUCUAUGUUAGUGUUUGGAUAUGUGGUUUUUUACUUAUGCAUGAAGAUAUAUGUCCUACGCGAUGUAAUUCUACUUGUCUGUGUUUUGAGACCCAAAACAGUUAGCAUCUGUAACCUCAUUAUAUAAUCAAAGCCUCAAUUAUUUUACAGUACUAGGAAGUACAAACUGUAUCUAUAUUUU